rnacentral:lncRNA from 1 species
GAGGUGGUAGUUACUUAUCUUAGAAUGUGAGUUGUGCCAUUUCAAAUCUUUUUGCUGUCUUCAUAAGCUGUUGAAUUGAAGAACUGUUUCGGUAAUCAUUUUAUGUGUAGGAAACUGGAUCGGUUGGACUCCACCUGACUGUGAGAAUCAAGUGUCUGACGUCCAGAGUCUUUGCCAUUUGACCAAAACUGAGGGCCUUCCCCCUUUUGCUCAUUCUUCUCCUUGCUGCUGCCAUGUGAAGAAGAACGUGUUUGCUUCCUCUUCCACCAUGAUUGAAAGGCCUCCAUGAUUCCCUGAGGCCUCCCCAGUCAUGCUGAACUGUGAAUAAGCAAGACUCUGGGAGGCUGCCUGACUUGUGUGUGGCCGACCGCUGUGGCAGAGCAUGGACUUGAAUUUGGGCUUCUA